GUGAGGAAUAUUGGUCAAUGGGCGGGAGCCUGAACCAGCCAAGUCGCGUGAAGGAAGAAGGAUCUAUGGUUCGUAAACUUCUUUUGCAGGGGAAUAAAGUGCAGGACGUGUCCUGUUUUGUAUGUACCCUGAGAAUAAGGAUCGGCUAACUCCGUGCCAGCAGCCGCGGUAAUACGGAGGAUCCGAGCGUUAUCCGGAUUUAUUGGGUUUAAAGGGUGCGUAGGUGGUUUGAUAAGUCAGCGGUGAAAGUUUGCAGCUUAACUGUAAAAAUGCCGUUGAAACUGUCGGACUUGAGUGUAAAUGAGGUAGGCGGAAUGCGUGGUGUAGCGGUGAAAUGCAUAGAUAUCACGCAGAACUCCGAUUGCGAAGGCAGCUUACUAAGCUACAACUGACACUGAAGCACGAAAGCGUGGGGAUCAAACAGGAUUAGAAACCCGUGUAGUCC
rnacentral:rRNA from 1 species